AUUAUCUUAAUUCUCCUUUCAGAUCUCAAUUGGAUACAAUUUGAUGGUGUUGGUUUCAUUCGGAACUUAGUUGUGCUAGAAGAAUACAUCAAAAGUAUAAUUAACAAAGGACAUCGUGGAAAGUAGAAAAUACUACAAACGAAGCACCGGAAAAGUCUUGCAGUCUACCUACAUUAGCAAAAAUGUUACAUGCCUUAGAGGGUCCUGUCGAGAACUACAGGGCAGCGGAUAUUUCUAUUUGGCCACCUGACGAUGAUCCUUACAACAACACUGAUGAAGAUUCAGAAGAUGAGGCCUGUCGAAAUCCAUAUCGAAAUAUGCCGACGUCAGCUCCAAACAGAGGCAGAAUUUCGAUUUGAAGGAGACAUACGACUGUAGACACUUUAUAACCACAUGCAGAACAACAGAUGUUUGUGAAGGAUGUCUUUGCCGUUCUGGAGUCAAAAAAGGCACGAGAGGAGAGCAAACAUAGGUCUCCAGCUGGAACAACUAUUUUAACACUCAAGCCACUCCCGUCAAGCCUGUUAUCUCGAAGCUCUCAGUGUACAAACAGGAGAAAGUAUUUAUAUCAGUACUGGACACGUAUUUCAUCCUGGCUACCCCGUUGGCUGCACAAGCUAUGAUGAAUUUGACUUGGAAAUAGAAUAAAUUCUUUGGGAAUAAAAAAAAAUACAUGUAUUUGUUUCAUAAAAAACUAACAUGAUAUAUACAUAAAUUAAUACAUAGGUUAAUUAAUGUUUAUGAAUUAGUUUACGCUACAGUAAAAAUAAAUAAGAAAAUAGUUUCUACUAA